GGUGAGAUGGCCGAGUUGGUUAUGGCGCCAGGUUAAGGUCUCUCCUUAGCAACGCAAGGUUAAUACCCUGCUUCCUGGUCACGAAAGUGGCGUGGGUUCGAGUCCCACUCUCAUCA
rnacentral:tRNA from 1 species